GACGAACGCUGGCGGCGCGCUUAACACAUGCAAGUCGAGCGGUAAGGCCCUUUCGGGGGUACGACGAGCGGCGAACGGGUGAGUAACACGUGGGUGACCUGCCCUUAGCUCUGGGAUAAGCCUGGGAAACUGGGUCUAAUACCGGAUAUGACUCCAUAACGCAUGUUGUGGGGUGGAAAGCCUUGUGCGGCUAGGGAUGGGCCCGCGGCCUAUCAGCUUGUUGGUGGGGUGAUGGCCACCAAGGCGACGACGGGUAGCCGGCCUGAGAGGGCGACCGGCCACACUGGGACUGAGACACGGCCCAGACUCCUACGGGAGGCAGCAGUGGGGAAUCUUGCGCAAUGGGCGAAAGCCUGACGCAGCGACGCCGCGU
rnacentral:rRNA from 1 species